AUUGAACGCUGGCGGCAGGCCUAACACAUGCAUGUCGAGCGGAUGAAGGGAGCUUGCUCCUGGAUUCAGCGGCGGACGGGUGAGUAAUGCCUAGGAAUCUGCCUGGUAGUGGGGGAUAACGUCCGGAAACGGGCGCUAAUACCGCAUACGUCCUGAGGGAGAAAGUGGGGGAUCUUCGGACCUCACGCUAUCAGAUGAGCCUAGGUCGGAUUAGCUAGUUGGUGGGGUAAAGGCCUACCAAGGCGACGAUCCGUAACUGGUCUGAGAGGAUGAUCAGUCACACUGGAACUGAGACACGGUCCAGACUCCUACGGGAGGCAGCAGUGGGGAAUAUUGGACAAUGGGCGAAAGCCUGAUCCAGCCAUGCCGCGUGUGUGAAGAAGGUCUUCGGAUUGUAAAGCACUUUAAGUUGGGAGGAAGGGCAGUAAGUUAAUACCUUGCUGUUUUGACGUUACCAACAGAAUAAGCACCGGCUAACUUCGU
rnacentral:rRNA from 1 species